rnacentral:rRNA from 1 species
GACAGAGGGUGCAAACGUUGUUCGGAAUUACUGGGCGUAAAGCGCGUGUAGGCGGCCAUCUAAGUCGGGCGUGAAAUCCCACGGCUCAACCGUGGAAGUGCACUCGAAACUGGAUGGCUAGAGUCCUGGAGAGGAAGGUGGAAUGCUUGGUGUAGAGGUGAAAUUCGUAGAAUAUUCGCAAGGAACACCAGUGGCGAAAGGCGGCUCACUGGCUCGAUAACUGACGCUGAGGUGCGAAAGCGUGGGGAGCAAACAGGA